ensembl:lncRNA
GAGAUGGGGAAGCUGGGGGAUUUCCAUUAAGGAGAAACCAGAGACGAUCAAAGGAGGAGGAGAGUGGUGCUGCCCUUUAAGAAAGCCUGCCAGAGCUCUGGAACUGGGACUCUUAAGAAACUUCUGUAAUGUGCCAAGUAAAGUGAGAAAGCUCUUCGUGGGGUCAAAAGAGAAGCUACAAGAGGAGGCCCCACGGAAGACUUGGCAGAAGAGAGUGGGAAGGAGUUUCACAUGGAUGGAUCAGAGCCUUUGCCUCACAAGCAGCUGAGUUUCGAGAGGUCACUUGGGCUCAUGAAGUUCAACGCUUCUGUGGCUCUGGCGCACACAGAUGCACACACAUUCUGAUCCCGCGGGCCACCCAAG